rnacentral:rRNA from 1 species
GACGUAGGGCGCGAGCGUUGUCCUGAUUUAUUGGGCGUAAAGAGCUCGUAGGCGGCUUGUCGCGUCAACUGUGAAAACCCGUGGCUCAACCAUGUGGUCUGCAGUCGAUACGGGCAGGCUAGAAUUCGGUAGGGGAGACUGGAAUUCCUGGUGUAGCGGUGAAAUGCGCAGAUAUCAGGAGGAACACCGGUGGCGAAGGCGGGUCUCUGGGCCGAUAUUGACGCUGAGGAGCGAAAGCGUGGGGAGCGAACAGG